rnacentral:lncRNA from 1 species
AUGACUGGGGAGGGAAUUUCCAACAUUUCCCAGCAAAUUCUGAUUAUUUCUGUUCAAAAGCUGAGCCAGGAAAGCAGAGCUGGUCCGGGAAAAGGUGAAAAAUCUGAAUUUCCACACAAUGAAAAAUCUGAAUUUCCACAAAAUGAAAAAUCUUCACUUUGGGUCAGAAAUGAUCCAAACCUGGCACGAAAAAUGGUGAGAAUCCUGAAAUUUGAACCUGAAAUUUGAACCUGAAAUUUUCACCUGAAAUUUAAACCUGAAAUUUUCACCUGAAAUUUAAACCUGAAAUUUGAACCUGAAAUUGGAACCUGAAAUUUCCACCUGAAAUUUGAACCUGAAAUUUUCACCUGAAAUUUGAACCUGAAAUUUAAACCUCAAAUUUAAACCUGAGAUUUUCACCUGAAAUUUUCACCUGAAAUUUUCACCUGAAAUUUUCACCUGAAAUUUAAACCUGAAAUUUGAACCUGAAAUUUAAACCUGAAAUUUCAACCUGAAAUUUCCACCUGAAAUUUUCACCUGAAAUUUUCACCUGAAAUUUUCCCCUGAAAUUUAAACCUGAAAUUUGAACCUGAAAUUUGAACCUGAAAUUUAAACCUGAAAUUUGAACCUGAAAUUUUCACCUGAAAUUUAAACCUGAAAUUUUCACCUGAAAUUUUCACCUGAAAUUUUCACCUGAAAUUUAAACCUGAANGGAGGAGAAUUAUUUCAGAAAAAGAGAAUUUUUAAAGCCUGACUGAAGGUUUAUAAAUUUGGUAUUUUUAUGUAUUUCUAUGUUAUUUGUAUGUAAAAUUGGAGAUAAGAAAUGUUGAUUUAUAAAUUUUAUAGAAUAAGACAUUGAGAGAAAAAUGGAAUUAGAAAUCAAAGGACAGUUUUGUAAAUAAGAAUAGAUAAUUUCAGAAAAAUAGAAUUAUGGAAGAUGGAUUGUGAAAUAAUUUUAAUUAUUGGUUUUAACUUUUAAUAUAGAGUAGUUAAAGGUGAUAGAUUAAGAAACCCUUCUAAUGAAUUUUAAUUAAUUGGUUUUGAUUGUGAUGGUGUCAAUUUUAAUAUUUAAUUAUUUAAUUAAAUUUAUUUAAUUAAAUAUAAAAUUUCAUUUCAUAUUUGUAUUGUCCCACCUUUCACACGAGACUAAAAAUGGAAUAAAAGUUUUUCAAAUUCCUCUCA